CCUGUGAGGGUUGCUGGAGGUAUCAGAAGUGCGAAUGCUGACAUAAGUAACGAUAAAGCGGGUGAAAAGCCCGCUCGCCGGAAGACCAAGGGUUCCUGUCCAACGUUAAUCGGGGCAGGGUGAGUCGACCCCUAAGGCGAGGCCGAAAGGCGUAGUCGAUGGGAAACGGGUUAAUAUUCCCGUACUUGGUGUUACUGCGAAGGGGGGACGGAGAAGGCUAUGUUGGCCGGGCGACGGUUGUCCCGGUUUAAGCGUGUAGGUGUGUGUUCCAGGUAAAUCCGGUUCACUUUAACACUGAGGCGUGACGACGAGGCACUACGGUGCUGAAGCAACAAAUGCCCUGCUUCCAGGAAAAGCCUCUAAGCAUCAGGUAACAUCAAAUCGUACCCCAAACCGACACAGGUGGUCAGGUAGAGAAUACCAAGGCGCUUGAGAGAACUCGGGUGAAGGAACUAGGCAAAAUGGUGCCGUAACUUCGGGAGAAGGCACGCUGACACGUAGGUGAAGUGAUUUACUCAUGGAGCUGAAGUCAGUCGAAGAUACCAGCUGGCUGCAACUGUUUAUUAAAAACACAGCACUGUGCAAACACGAAAGUGGACGUAUACGGUGUGACGCCUGCCCGGUGCCGGAAGGUUAAUUGAUGGGGUCAGCGCAAGCGAAGCUCCUGAUCGAAGCCCCGGUAAACGGCGGCCGUAACUAUAACGGUCCUAAGGUAGCGAAAUUCCUUGUCGGGUAAGUUCCGACCUGCACGAAUGGCGUAAUGAUGGCCAGGCUGUCUCCACCCGAGACUCAGUGAAAUUGAACUCGCUGUGAAGAUGCAGUGUACCCGCGGCAAGACGGAAAGACCCCGUGAACCUUUACUAUAGCUUGACACUGAACAUUGAGCCUUGAUGUGUAGGAUAGGUGGGAGGCUUUGAAGUGUGGACGCCAGUCUGCAUGGAGCCGACCUUGAAAUACCACCCUUUAAUGUUUGAUGUUCUAACGUGGACCCGUUACCCGGGUUGCGGACAGUGUCUGGUGGGUAGUUUGACUGGGGCGGUCUCCUCCUAAAGAGUAACGGAGGAGCACGAAGGUUGGCUAAUCCUGGUCGGACAUCAGGAGGUUAGUGCAAUGGCAUAAGCCAGCUUGACUGCGAGCGUGACGGCGCGAGCAGGUGCGAAAGCAGGUCAUAGUGAUCCGGUGGUUCUGAAUGGAAGGGCCAUCGCUCAACGGAUAAAAGGUACUCCGGGGAUAACAGGCUGAUACCGCCCAAGAGUUCAUAUCGACGGCGGUGUUUGGCACCUCGAUGUCGGCUCAUCACAUCCUGGGGCUGAAGUAGGUCCCAAGGGUAUGGCUGUUCGCCAUUUAAAGUGGUACGCGAGCUGGGUUUAGAACGUCGUGAGACAGUUCGGUCCCUAUCUGCCGUGGGCGCUGGAGAACUGAGGGGGGCUGCUCCUAGUACGAGAGGACCGGAGUGGACGCAUCACUGGUGUUCGGGUUGUCAUGCCAAUGGCACUGCCCGGUAGCUAAAUGCGGAAGAGAUAAGUGCUGAAAGCAUCUAAGCACGAAACUUGCCCCGAGAUGAGUUCUCC
rnacentral:rRNA from 1 species